rnacentral:lncRNA from 1 species
UAAAUUAAAUUGGUAAUAGGAAGUACGUCAUUAGGCGUUUAUUUUUAUUCUUACUUUAAACUUGUUACAAUAUAUUAUCAAUAAAAUUGAUUGCAUGAAAAAGUGAGGGAAGCUGUUUGUAAGCAAACGAGAAAAAGCCAGGAUGGAAGAGUGCGGUGUUCUUGGGAUUUAGAAUAACUUUUAAAUGUAGAGGUUUGGCAAUGGUAAAGGAAUUUGAACUUUUUAAUCACGCUGAGAAAAUAUUGUCAAUUGCACUUGACUUUUCUUCUCUGGUGCUAGCUGCUAUAAAAGAGAACCUAAUAAUUCAAGUUAUGUGGACAUCUUAUAUUCCCAAGACAAACAAAAGCGAGCAGAACUAAAAAGAUUACAUCAUAUUUAGAUGAGGCUGCGAUUGUCCCGGUUUUUACAGAGACAAAGACUGGAAAGAGUUUGCUUCCUGUCAUUAGUACCAUUUAAAAUUGGUUAUGCCUGUGGUAACAUAAAUGAUGAAGAUGUUAGAUGUUAUGUUAGAAGAUGCAAACUACAGUGGUCAGUGUUUCUAAAAAUUUUACUUUAAACGUGGACAAACAAGGCGUGCGACCAUAUACACUUCUUGGGAAGGUUUGCAAACUGUCUUUUAAAUACAAAAAAUACUCAAAAGAUACCAUGCUAUCAAAAUUUAGUUAGGAUCUUAAAACAACAUUAAUUUUGGAUUAAGUUGAUCUCCUCUAAAAACUACUCCGGCCUAUAAUGUUUUACAAAAUAUGAAUGCUAUAUUUGCAAGAAAAAUUUGAAAUAAUCACUAAUUAGAACUAAUUUCUAAAUUUAAUUUUCAAAUUAAGGAAUUAAAAAAAACAGGCUUGGCCAGGAAGGCGUGUGAUUUCACGUCAUAAUAUGACCACCCAAAUAAACUUGACCACAGCUGUUAAUAUGUUUUGAAAGUUUAUAUACUUUUUUAAAACGCUUUAAAAAAAUCAUCUUAACUAUAAAGAAGCUUAAAAAAAAACUUAUCGUAGAAGAAGCAAAUAAAUCUUUGUAAAAAAAAUAACGAAAAAUAAAAUAAAAAUAACUUAUUAAUACUAAAUUAAAAAAAACUAAAACCAUAAGAUUAUCUACAUUACGUUUGGAAUAAACAACUUUGAACCGCUUAUUUUUACUAAUGUUUUUACAAAUUAAUAUUAUGCAAAAAGCUUUUUAAAUAAAGUAACAACUUACAUCUAAGGAUUGUGUAAUUUAUUUUCAAUGUAAUUAAAAAACAAUUUUUUCAGCGCAUUUGUUAAAAACAAAGGUGAAAUCAUCAAAACAAAAUAUUAGUGUGGUCAUAUAAAGACUUGAAAUCGCACGCCUUUCUGGCCAAGCCUGAAAAAACAUAAGCAACAUGUUUUUUAAUUCUUGAUUUAAAAAUAUGUCUGAUGAUUGCCGCCAGGCAUGAAAAUUUGAAUAUUGUAUUUUUUCAUUUGAAUAUUUAUUAAAUAUGUUGCAUAUAUUUUUCAUUUGAAUAUUUAUUAAAUAUAUUGCAUAUAUUGUUUAUAUAAUAUCAAUCCCUGUUAAACAGACUGUUAAAGAGAUUUUUUGCACAUAAUUAUACAAAAAAACAAUAUACAAUUGACCUUACCACACCACUAAAUAAAAAAUUUCUAACUU